rnacentral:rRNA from 1 species
UACGAAGGGUGCAAGCGUUGUUCGGAAUUAUUGGGCGUAAAGGGCGCGUAGGCGGUUUGACAAGUCUGAUGUGAAAUCUCUGGGCUCAACCCAGAGUCUGCAUUAGAAACUGUCGGGCUUGAGUAUGGGAGAGGUGAGUGGAAUUUCCGGUGUAGCGGUGAAAUGCGUAGAUAUCGGAAGGAACACCUGUGGCGAAAGCGGCUCACUGGACCAUAACUGACGCUGAGGCGCGAAAGCUAGGGGAGCAAACAGG